ensembl:lncRNA
GACCAACUACCCAGAUCAGACGCUGAUGCUGCCCUCAAAUCAGCUGUGCAAGCAGUUGGAGUUUGUGUAUCACUAGAGUCUCCAAAGUCACAUUAAAUUGGAGUUUGUGUAUUACUAGAGUCUACAAAGUGACAUUAAAUUGGAGUUUGUGUAUCACUAGAGUCCCCAAAGUGACAUUAAAUUGGAGUUUGUGUAUCACUAGAGUCCCCAAAUCACAUUAAAUUGGAGUUUUUGUAUCAUUAAAGUCUACAAAGUCAUAUUAAAUUGGAGUUUGUGUAUUACUAGAGUCUACAAAGUCACAUUAGAUUGGAGUUUGUGUAUCACUAGAGUCUACAAAGUCACAUUAAAUUGGAGUUUGUGUAUCAC